rnacentral:rRNA from 1 species
GCAUGAAGUCGGAAUUGCUAGUAAUCGUAGGUCAGCAUACUACGGUGAAUACGUUCCCGGGCCUUGCACACACCGCCCGUCAAACCAUGAGAGUUGGCAACACCCGAAGUCGGUAGUCUAACCGCAAGGAGGACGCCGCCGAAGGUGGGGUUGACGACUGGGGUGAAGUCGUAACAAGGUAAC